rnacentral:rRNA from 1 species
CAGCCGCCGCGGGAAUACCAGCAGCCCAAGUGGUGGUCGCGAUUAUUGGGCCUAAAGCGCUCGUAGCCGGGCCGUUAAGUCCCUUGUGAAAUCGGACGGCCUAACCGUUCGGCGUGCAAGGGAUACUGUCGGUCUUGAGGCCGGGAGACGUCCGAGGUACUCCGGGGGUAGCGGUGAAAUGUUCUGAUCCUCGGGGGACCACCGGUGGCGAAGGCGUUCGACGAGAACGGGCCUGACGGUGAGGGGCGAAGGCUAGGGGAGCAAACGGGAUUAGAUACCCCAGUAGUCCCUGUCUCUUAUU